GUUUUUCUCCUUUAAUGGCUCAUCCUUUCCUUCCUGGUAGCUAAGUGUGGUCACAUUCCAGCCAUCUGACCCUUGGCAUUCUCCUCUUCUCUCUCCACUCUGCUGGUCACAGCCAAGGAAAUGUCCUCUUCUCUUUGGACAAUGGUAGUUGUACUACUUAUCCUUUUAAGCAUCAAAACUUCUAUUAUUUUUAACUCUUUGGCUGGGGCGUCUGUCAAAUGUUUCAGCACUUUCCUGCUGGAGUGGAGACUGCUAGCUGGCCACCAAAUCUGCUCCCUCGUCUUCCGUAGUAAUGGAAACUGGACAUAUAGCUGCCCUGUGAUGUGAUUUCUCCAGCCUCUUCUGCAGUUAUUAGGUGUGGCCAUGCAUCUUAUCUUAGUUUCCUCCAAAACAGAGACUGAGACAAAGGCUUUCACGUGGGCAGUUUAUUUGGGAAUGUGUCUCUGGGAGCAAGAGUGAAGAACAAGGAAAUGAAACAGGGAAGGAUGGCUGUGUUCGUGAGUUGGCCAGGCUAUCUGCGACGGGUGCUCAAACUAGAGGACUUUCUAGUAAGUCUCAUGCAUGCAUCUCAGAGCUGUGUGCUUGGGGGAUGAAAGAGGAACGAUUUAUCCUUUGGCUUGCAUCCUCCAUUGAUCUGAGCCUUAGACUGUAAGAAUACCCCACAAACCUUAAACCUCCCUGUAUUUUGGGUUACACCUGUGUACGUGCCAACAGCAUCAAGGACAGACUAAGACAUAUGUAGCACUGGGCCCAAGACAAGGCACUGUCAUGUUGUACAGGCAAAGAACUGGUUGACGUCUGUGCAAAGCUGGUUACCAAAGCAGUGGCUGGAGUAAGAGCUAAAAGGAUUUGAAGUGGUGCACAAGAGGGCUCCUUAUAUCACUGUUCUCGCCUUCCCUAAGUCCAAUCCACAGAGUCUCCAUCAAGAAGGAUUUGAAGUGGUGCACAAGAGGGCUCCUUAUAUCACUGUUCUCGCCUUCCCUAAGUCCAAUCCACAGAGUCUCCAUCAAGAAGGUGGUCAGCUACAAUGUCUG
rnacentral:lncRNA from 1 species